rnacentral:rRNA from 1 species
CAGCCGCCGCGGGAAUACGUAGGUCCCGAGCGUUGUCCGGAUUUAUUGGGCGUAAAGGGAGCGCAGGCGGUUUAGUAAGUCUGAAGUUAAAGGCAUUGGCUCAACCAAUGUAUGCUUUGGAAACUGUUAGACUUGAGUGCAGAAGGGGAGAGUGGAAUUCCAUGUGUAGCGGUGAAAUGCGUAGAUAUUGGGAGGAACACCAGUGGCGAAGGCGGCUUUCUGGACUGCAACUGACGCUGAGGCUCGAAAGCCAGGGGAGCGAACGGGAUUAGAUACCCCCGUAGUCCCUGUCUCUUAUACA